AAGUGGGGAUGACGUCAAGUCCUCAUGGCCCUUAUGGGUAGGGCUUCACACGUCAUACAAUGGUCGGUACAGAGGGUUGCCAAGCCGCGAGGCGGAGCCAAUCCCACAAAGCCGAUCGUAGUCCGGAUUGUUCUCUGCAACUCGAGAGCAUGAAGGUCGGAAUCGCUAGUAAUCGCAGGUCAGCAUACUGCGGUGAAUACGUUCCCGGGUCUU
rnacentral:rRNA from 1 species